GCGUGUUCAACAUCUUUUCUUUUACUUUGUAACAGGUGUCUUUCGUUCCAUACUUUGUUUGUUUAUAUUUUGAGAUACUGGUGGAAAAAGAAAUUUGUACUUUUGUGUAAAGUAUUUUAUUGGAGAAUUUACAAAAGAAGAAAUUUUUGGAAAUGUUUAAUUCGUGAAAGGGGAUAGUUUAAAGCAGCGGUUCUCAAAUAAUGGCGAAACUCGUUCGUGAAGAUGAAUGUUCGACUUUUGACUUGUCUAACAUUUUUAGGCCACAUUGGCACAUUUCCUUGAAGACGAUAAAACUUCUGAAGUGAAGUCUAUUUGCAUAAAAUGUCCUAAUCAUCGUACUAGAAGUUAUUUUUAAGAAGCAAACAACGUACGAAGAGUUCACGAGAAGAAUAAUCACGCAAAGAAAAUCUGAAGAAAAUUUCUAAAAUUUGAAAAACAAACUCGUGAAUGCUACUGCAUUACGCAUGAUGUAAAAGGACGGGGUCAACUGUGUCUGAAACAUUUAUACAUCAUUGCGAUAUUACUUUUCUAGAAUAAGAUAAAUAACACAAUCCACUUGUUACGUUACGGGAAGGCAAACCAUAUAAAGACACGAAGGGGGACCUGAAACUGUUUUAAAAAAAUCGUGGUGAUGUAAUUAAUAUCUGGCUCUUUCACUCCGCCCUCGGUUUUAUUAUUAACUUCGUCCAACAAACACACUUUCGAGGCAUCGAAUGACUCGUACGUGAGCAAUGUGUUUCACUAG
rnacentral:misc_RNA from 1 species